rnacentral:rRNA from 1 species
GUGCACGCUGGCGGUAGGCCUAACACAUGCAAGUCGAACGGCAGCACAGUAAGCGCUUGCUCUUACGGGUGGCGAGUGGCGGACGGGUGAGGAAUACAUCGGAAUCUACUUUUUCGUGGGGGAGAACGUAGGGAAACUUACGCUAAUACCGCAUACGACCUACGGGUGAAAGCAGGGGCUCUUCGGACCUUGCGCGACUGAAUGAGCCGAUGUCGGAUUAGCUAGUUGGCGGGGUAAAGGCCCACCAAGGCGACGAUCCGUAGCUGGUCUGAGAGGAUGAUCAGCCACACUGGAACUGAGACACGGUCCAGACUCCUACGGGAGGCAGCAGUGGGGAAUAUUGGACAAUGGGCGCAAGCCUGAUCCAGCCAUACCGCGUGGGUGAAGAAGGCCUUCGGGUUGUAAAGCCCUUUUGUUGGGAACGAAAAGCAGCAUGUUAAUACCCCGCCGUUCUGACGGUACCCAAAGAAUAAGCACCGGCUAACUUCGUG